GAUGAAGAACGCAGCAAAAUGCGAUAAGUAAUGUGAAUUGCAGAAUUCAGUGAAUCAUCGAAUCUUUGAACGCACAUUGCGCCCGCUGGUAUUCCGGCGGGCAUGCCUGUUCGUGCGUCAUUUCAACCCUCAAGCCCCCGGGUUUGGUGUUGGGGAUCGGCUCUGCCCUUCUGGGCGGUGCCGCCCCCGAAAUACAUUGGCGGUCUCGCUGCAGCCUCCAUUGCGUAGUAGCUAACACCUCGCAACUGGAACGCGGCGCGGCCAUGCCGUAAAACCCCAACUUCUGAAUGUUGACCUCGGAUCAGGUAGGAAUACCCGCUGAACUUAAGCAUAUCAAUAAGCGGAGGA
rnacentral:misc_RNA from 1 species